rnacentral:lncRNA from 1 species
AUUUAUUGAUUUCAAUAUCUUUUAUUUGUAUUUAUGGUUAUUAUUUUGAUUUAUGAGAUUAUUUUCUUUCUUUCUUUUUCUGCUUCACAAAUUCCAGAUUGAUGAGAAAGUGGCAAGAGAGAUUAUAAACCACAAGUCCCUUUGUCACUGUUAACUACAUUGUUAAGGAGGUAAGGACUUCUUUGGUUAUCUGUUGGAUCAGUUUGUAUAAAAUACACUGUUAAUUAAUUGUGCAUGCUAAUUUGUUACUUCAAUGGGUUUUUUAUUGUUCAGAUUGUUUUGAUUGUAAUGGAUUAUGCAGUUGGGGGAAACACAAACUAAUUAGCAUAUUUAUUUCCUAUAUUUGGUUUUAUUUGUUUGCUAAUACUACAUUUAGGUUCAUACAGAGUCUUUGAAAGUUGGAUGGUGUGAUAGAGCUGCUGAUGUUGGAUUUCGAGUGAUGAGUUUCAAUGCCCCUUUUUUGGUAAUGAUAAUUUGAAAUCAUGUUUCUUGAUCAAUCUGUGGUUUCAAAUUUGGAUUGUAACGAAUUGUGUGCUGAGAUAUUGGCUAAAUUUGUUGAAAUACUACCUUUUAUAAUUGUGUAAAUGAGUCAUUUGAUUAGUUAUUUUAAUAUUGAUAUUUGCACUUCAAAGUUGAUAGCUAAUACGAAUACUACCUUUAUUGUUAAUGAGCUGCUCAUUGUUGUUAUAGUGUGUACC